UACGGGGGGGGGCAAGCGUUGUUCGGAAUUACUGGGCGUAAAGGGCUCGUAGGCGGCCAACUAAGUCAGACGUGAAAUCCCUCGGCUUAACCGGGGAACUGCGUCUGAUACUGGUUGGCUUGAAUCCGGGAGAGGGAUGUGGAAUUCCAGGUGUAGCGGUGAAAUGCGUAGAUAUCUGGAGGAACACCCGUGGCGAAGGCGGUUCUCUGGGACGGUACUGACGCUGAGACGCGAAAGCGUGGGGAGCGAACAGG
rnacentral:rRNA from 1 species